CUAAAAUAAAAGUUGAAAAAGAAAAAAAAGAAAUGUCAUAUAAAGAUGGUUCCAUAAAAUAUGAUACAAUCAAUGAAAUGGGAUAUAACAGUAUUUUAAAGAAUGUUUUUGAAGACUGCUAACAAGGAGGAAAAACUAAUACAUGAAAUGAAAUAAAGCAAGAUUUAAAGUACAUGUAUGCUAUGAUUAUGGCCACAUUUUUUAAAUUGCAUGCUUAAAAAACUGAUAAUGUGAAAUUAUGGGUGAUCAUUUCUUUAUUUUGAAUUUUCCAGAUUUUCAGCCAAAUAACUAUCAGUUUUAUAAUUUACCUUCCCCAAAAAACAUCGCAAUGGAAAUGGAGAGACAAGUAGACCAAGGAACCACCAAGUGAAAGCACUGCCCAGAAACAGGAAAAUCCUGGGCAAAAAUAAGCAGGAGCGGCCUCAGGAGUGAAAUAGGUGCUGAAAUGGCCUUUGACCUUCCAUGUUACUCCCAGAAAUGCCCACCGGCUGCCACAGCCAAGACCAUCCUGCCACUGGUGGCUCCAGACUAAUGGGAAGGAAGAGAAACAGACCAGCAUCUAAAUACAGAGUGAUUCUUCUAUUAGGCAAAAUAUCUCCCAACACCAUCUAAAAUUCUCCUUGACCCAGAAAUUCUACCUCUAAGAGUUGAUUGUAAGAAAAUAUCCUUAUCAAAUACACAUACAAAUAUUUAUGCAUAAUCAUUGCAAUGUAGAUUAUAAUAAUGAAACUUUGUAAUAUUCUAAGUUACUAAGAAUGGAGAAUGGCUUUAAUAAAAUAUCCAUACAAUGUAA